rnacentral:lncRNA from 1 species
AAUACUGAGAGCCAGAUGGGUGACGGAAGAGCUAGGAGACCAACCGGGUAUGGAGCUGCAAGAAGGGGACUCUGUUCCACUCCUGGGCUGGAGAGACACCUGCCCCACAGCACAGCAAAAUUAAUGUGAAAGUCAGACUCAAAUGAGUCCCAAUGGUGUCCUCCGAUCUCUGCUGAGAAGCACAUUUCAAAUACAGAAGAAACGGCAACCAGCUGAGACCUAGUGUAUCUUGGAUUGUAACAAUUAAUGGAUAUGAAUGGCCCUCACAGGAGAGCUUGGCUUACCUUUAUAUCAACUUUGGAGAUUAAUUCAGACCACAUGAUAGAAGACUGAAGAAAAUAUGAGCAACAAUUCUAGCAGAGAACCUUCAUAUGAAGAAUCUUCUAUUUUCAGUUACGCAUGCCCAUGAAAUAAAUGAAUAUGAAGGUUUGAGUCCUCCCCACCUUCAAAUUAGCAGAAUUCCCUUUUUAACUUCAACUCCAAAGCCUCAGGAUGUUCAUCUGAAAUCAAACACACUAAAAGUUGCCAGCGUUUACUCAUAGAGAUCAAGAAAUGGAAGCAGAGAAGCCUGAAUGGUUUGCGUCUUAAAAAAAGGAAGUAAACCUCUUCUAAAAAGAAAAAUCAAAAUGUAAGAAGAAAUUCUGGGCCACUUUUUUCCAAAUUGCUUCCAGCAGAACAGCCCUAGUAC